AACAAGGCGUACCUGCGGACCUGCGGAAGGAUCAUUACCGAGUUUACAACUCCCAAACCCCUGUGAACAUACCUAUACGUUGCCUCGGCGGAUCAGCCCGCGCCCCGUAAAAAGGGACGGCCCGCCCGAGGACCCCUAAACUCUGUUUUUAGUGGAACUUCUGAGUAAAACAAACAAAUAAAUCAAAACUUUUAGCAACGGAUCU
rnacentral:misc_RNA from 1 species